rnacentral:lncRNA from 1 species
UUCCUGGCUUCAUUUCAGUCUAUUUGGCAAAGGCUUUACUAAAUAUUUGGGAUAUCUGGCACCAUGAAGUUCAGGUUUUAGGGCUAACUGACUUUGACAUCUGUAGAAGAAGAUGGCGUGAAUCUUUGACACUCAUUCGUUUCCAUUCUAAAAACCUCUUCUACCCUGGGAGUUACGUUUUGGUGGAGAGCUUUGAAAGAAUCAUUAAAUUGUCAAAUGAGCAACAUGAAUUAUGAACACUUCAUGAAUAAUUUGGACUAUGAAUAAAUUCCAGGAGUUUCAGGAGCUCUGCCAGAACUGAUGAAGAUGAAAUAGAUGUGUCUUAUUCUAUCAGAGCAUCAUGAGUGUGAACUAAUGAAUAAGAAACUACUGAGGGCCUCAACCAAACUUUUGUGAUUUUUAACCACCAGGAUUCCUGCAAGGUUCUCACAGUGAAGAUCAGAUUUCUCCUGCUGCCUUUGUCCUCUAGAGGUUUAAAAGGUCCUUGUUGUGAAAUAUCCUGAGUGUUCUGUAUAACAAAAGCCUACAGCAGAGGAACAGACUUCUUUUUUAACCAGAAGUCUCUCUCCCUCCUCAGCUCCUUCUAGCCUCCCUAUCUCAACUAAAGUGGAACAAAAAUGCCAGUGGGGAAAAACCAAGCUUGUAACAGUCACAGCUCACCUACACAAACCCACUGAAGAACUGAGAUUUGAAGGAUCUUAGGGUCCUUGUUUGGAUUAGGGCACAUUACCA